UACGUAGGGGGCGAGCGUUGUCCGGAUUUAUUGGGCGUAAAGAGCGUGUAGGCGGCCAGGUAGGUCUGCUGUGAAAACUCGAGGCUCAACCUCGAGACGUCGGCGGAAACCAUCUGGCUAGAGUCCGGAAGAGGAGAUUGGAAUUCCUGGUGUAGCGGUGAAAUGCGCAGAUAUCAGGAAGAACACCCGUGGCGAAGGCGGCUCUCUGGGCAGUAACUGACGCUGAGGAGCGAAAGCGUGGGGAGCGAACAGG
rnacentral:rRNA from 1 species